GACAUAGGUGGCAAACGUUAUCCGGAAUUAUUGGGCGUAAAGGGUGCGUAGGUGGUUUAAUAAGUUAUUGGUGGGAAAACGGGGCCCAACUCCGUGGAAGCUAGUAAUACUAUUAGACUAGAGGACCGGAGAGGUUAACGGAAUGGCUCGUGUAGGGGUAAAAUCCGUAAAUACGAGUUGGAACACCAAAAGGCGAAGGCAGUUAACUAUUCGGUUCCUGACAUUGAGGCACGAAAGCGUGGGGAUCAAACAGG
rnacentral:rRNA from 1 species